UUUCCGUAGGUGAACCUGCGGAAGGAUCAUCAUUGAACCUCUAAAUAUCAACAAAACACCUGUGUGAACCGUCGGGGGCUAGGAGGUGGAUUCGCGUCCGCCGCCCGCCUUCAUUUUUUCCCGCUUUUUUUGCGGGGGAAAACGAAAAAACCCCAACCAAAACCUCUUGAUCUUUUUGACAGAUUCCAAAUGUUAUCGCGAGAUAACGCUUGAAAACAAAACAUAAAGACAACUUUUAACAACGGAUCUCUUGGCUCUC
rnacentral:misc_RNA from 1 species